rnacentral:lncRNA from 1 species
CAAGCAUAAACGCCACCGGCAACGGGAGUUUCCAAAAUCCAAACAAAUGUUGGAAGAUAUUCUUAAGCUUAUUUAUAUAUACUUUUCUAUAUGAAAAUAAAAUUGGACUACACCAACAAAGGUUCUGUGUUUUGCACCAGAUUGAAAGCAUCAUAGCGAAAAACGGACCUGUCAUAUCUUUAAAUUUCCUAAAGAGCCCCUGGAAAUAGUGAAAUGAUCUCUGCUAAGGAAUUCUAAGGCAAAUGGAUAAAAAACCUUCAGUCCAUGCAUUGGUAUGUAAUUGUUGACAAAAAUACAAUUAAUGGCCUCUUUACUUUUCCACAUGCAAAGAGGUUAACCAAGGAGAAAUUGUCAAAAAUCUAGGUAAAUACAGAAUUGCUUAGUACAAACUAUACCCAGUACCAGUUCGUCCACUUCUUUGAAGCAUGGUACUUCAAACAGAGAAACUGUCAACAAUUCGGUAGAAGGUGAGCUGGUGUCAAAUUUCAGUAAGGGACAUGAUUUCAACUUUGCACCAACAGCAGACCCGAAAUUAAUUUUGCUGCAAAAAGUUGGAGGAUGUGAAAGAAAAAAGUGCAGAAGUUAAAAUUAAAUUUUUCAUAUGAGCACCUAAAAAAUAAUCAUGACAAAAUUCAGUUGUAUACAGGUUUGACAUGUAGCCCUAUGGAAAAAUGUAAAUUUUUUAUUUUUCUAUCCUGCACUACUUCAGAGUACCUUUAAAAAAGGUUAUUACCAAUUUGACUCUAAAAUGAACAGAAACCCUAUUUCUUUGCAAUUUUCGAUUUUGGAACAAAAUCCGGGUCAAAAUGACCAUUUUUUCAAAAUAUGCUCCGAAUUCAAAAUUUCUUUUUUCUACUUAAAGACGACUUAAAAGGUAGUAAAAAAGCUUUAUGACAAAUUUUUCCACGAUUUAUACUAGUGCCACAAUAUAAAUAGAAAAAUUAGGUCCCAUAAGAAUUCAUGUUUAGGGAUAAGAAAACCGGGUUUUUUCGUGGAUUUUUUUGAUUUUUUAGUUUCAUUUUUGAGAGCCAAUAGUAAUAAAAUAUCAAAAGAGUUGACAGGAGAAGAAUAAGAAAUAAAAGAAACCAUAAACGAAUUGAAUCGAAGCUGUAGAAGCCGAGAUAUAAGUAAAAAUGUGGGAAAAAUAAAAGAAAACUUCCUUUUUCCCACCGUACAAUUUUUUUUUUCUAAAAUGAUUGUUAGCAAAUUUUAAAGUAAGCCUUAAACUAACAAUUCCUAGUAAAAAAACUCAUUAAAAAAAACAUUUUUUUUUGGUCGAAAAUCGAAAGGGAUAUACCCACGAAAAAUUUCGAAAAAAUGAUUUUUAUUGUUUUCUAAAUUAACUGUAAGUCUGAGAACCUUUUGCUUCAAACAAAAGUUCUCAGGAAUAUUACGAGAAAUCUGUCUGUCGAAAUGAAUAGGUUCUAGCUAUUAUAGAAUCGGAGAAAAUUGGAAAAAACUAGUAAACAUAAAUAUCGAAUUAUCAGGACCCCUAUGGAAAAAUUUCAAUUUUUUAUUUUUAAUCCUGUACUACUUCAGAAUACCUUUAAAAAAAGUUAUUACCAAUUUGACUCUAAAAUAAACAGAAAACCUAUUUCUUUGCAUUUUUCGAUUUUCGAACAAAAUCCGGGGUCAAAAUGACCAUUUUUUCAAAAUAUGCUCCGAAUUUAAAAUUUCUUUUUUCUGCUUAAAGACGACUUAAAAAGUAGUAAAAAAGCUUCAUGACAAAUUAUUCCACGAUUCAUACGAGUGCCACAAUCUAAAGAGAAAGAUCAGGUUCCAUAUAAGAAGCAAUGUAUUAGGAUAAGAAAAACAAACCCCUUUUUUUCCUUGUUUUUUUUUGUAUUUUUAUUUUAAAAGGCAAUUUUAAUAAAAUUUUAAAAAAUGUAAAGAAAAAAAAAUUAAUAAAAACAUUUAUCAACUUAUUGAAUAGAAGCUAUAAAAGCCGUGAUAUCAGUAACAUAGUAAAAAAAUACAAAAAAUACACCUUUUUUUGAAACCGCA